GGAGAGCUUGCUCUCUGGAUCAGUGGCGAACGGGUGAAGUAACACGUGAGCAAUCUGCCCCUGACUCUGGGAUAAGCGCUGGAAACGGCGUCUAAUACCGGAUACGAGCUGCGAAGGCAUCUUCAGCAGCUGGAAAGAACUUCGGUCAGGGAUGAGCUCGCGGCCUAUCAGCUAGUUGGUGAGGUAAAGGCUCACCAAGGCGUCGACGGGUAGCCGGCCUGAGAGGGUGACCGGCCACACUGGGACUGAGACACGGCCCAGACUCCUACGGGAGGCAGCAGUGGGGAAUAUUGCACAAUGGGCGCAAGCCUGAUGCAGCAACGCCGCGUGAGGGACGACGGCCUUCGGGUUGUAAACCUCUUUUAGCAGGGAAGAAGCGAAAGUGACGGUACCUGCAGAAAAAGCACCGGCUAACUACGUGCCAGCAGCCGCGGUAAUACGUAGGGUGCAAGCGUUAUCCGGAAUUAUUGGGCGUAAAGAGCUCGUAGGCGGUUUGUCGCGUCUGCUGUGAAAACUGGGGGCUCAACCCCCAGCCUGCAGUGGGUACGGGCAGACUAGAGUGCGGUAGGGGAGAUUGGAAUUCCUGGUGUAGCGGUGGAAUGCGCAGAUAUCAGGAGGAACACCGAUGGCGAAGGCAGAUCUCUGGGCCGUAACUGACGCUGAGGAACGAAAGCGUGGGUAGCGAACAGGAUUAGAUACCCUGGUA
rnacentral:rRNA from 1 species